rnacentral:misc_RNA from 1 species
GAUGAAGAACGUAGCGAAAUGCGAUAAGUAAUGUGAAUUGCAGAAUUCAGUGAAUCAUCGAAUCUUUGAACGAACAUUGCGCCCGCCAGUAUUCUGGCGGGCAUGCCUGUUCGAGCGUCAUUACAACCCUCAGGCCCCCGGGCCUGGCGUUGGGGAUCGGCGGAAGCCCCCUGCGGGCACAACGCCGUCCCCCAAAUACAGUGGCGGUCCCGCCGCAGCUUCCAUUGCGUAGUAGCUAACACCUCGCAACUGGAGAGCGGCGCGGCCACGCCGUAAAACACCCAACUUCUGAAUGUUGACCUCGAAUCAGGUAGGAAUACCCGCUGAACUUAAGCAUAUCAAUAAGCGGAGGA